CCGACGGUGAGAGGCGAAAGCUGGGGGCACGAACCGGAUUAGAUACCCGGGUAGUCCCAGCCGUAAACGAUGCUCGCUAGGUGUCUGGGAUGGUGCGACCGUUUCAGGUGCCGCAGGGAAGCCGUGAAGCGAGCCACCUGGGAAGUACGGCCGCAAGGGCUGAAACUUAAAGGAAUUGGCGUGGGAGCACUACAACGGGUGGAGCCUGCGGUUUAAUUGGACUCAACGCCGGAAAACUCACCUGGGG
rnacentral:rRNA from 1 species